rnacentral:ncRNA from 1 species
UUUGUUUAACUAUGGCAAUAGAAAGUUAUCGGAAGUUAACUGCAUAAAAUAUGUUUAUAAUUAUUGGAGUAUAUGGUUAUUCUCCUUAUAAUUAGCAGUUAGUUUUUUAUUAGAAUAUGUGUUUUUUAAGAAUAUUUCGAUUUAGAAGGGGGUAGGACACAGUGCCAGCACCUGCGGUUAUUCUGUUUUCUUAGCUUUCUUAUAGAUUAUAGUUUGUUUGUUUAUAAUUAAAAUUAGGUGAAAAUUUUUUAUUAUUUUAUUAAACAUUCAUUUUUUGAUAAAUAUUGUUAGUGACAGGGAUUAGAUACCCCAUUAACUUAAUAUUGUAAUAUAUCUUAGUUUUAUAACUAAAAUAGUUUGGCAGCAAGCGAUUCUAUCUAGGGGAAGGUGCGUUGUAAAGGAUGAUCCGCCUAUUAUUUUACUUACUUUAUGUUGGUGUAUAUCUAGUUUGAUAUUAUUGUUUAGUAAUUUAAUUUGUGUAUAUGUUUAUUUAAGCUAAGUCUAUGUGCUGCUUGAGUAAGUUUUCGUGCGUUACACUUAUAGGGUUAUUAGUGAUAUCUUGUAGAAUAGUUAGGACUUAGCAGUAAUGUGAAAUUAGUUUGUUCAUGUGAAAUUAGUUUAGCUUGGGUACACACCGCCCGUCAUCCUCGAUAGUUGUUGAGGCAAGUCGUAACAAGGUAACUUUAAAGGAAUUUGAAGUUAGUUACUAUAAUUAGUAUUA